rnacentral:lncRNA from 1 species
CUUGUUCUCCAAAUAUUUUCCGGAGGACUGAGAGGAAAACAUGAGUAUGCAGUAGGUGGAGCAGAAAACACAUCAGAAAUGGCCAUGCCUCCACUUGGAGGAGGUACUCAUUGCACUUGUACACAUUGUCGGAGUGCCCUCCUCCUCCUGGAGUUUCACGGUCAUGCCUCAGCUGGGGAAGACUGCGAGGGAGUCUUUGGGAAGCUGAAGGAAGUCCUGAAAGAACACAAGGGCAAGAAUUCCUACCAGAAGUGUUGUGAAAUGAGUGAAACCUGGAGUUCAAAGACCUUGGCAGCAAGAAUGGAGGAGUGUGCUGAAUUCGGCAGGAUUUUUGAAACAGAACAUGGAGGAAGUGUAUCAAGUGCAUGUCAAUUGUUUUGGAAAAUCUGUAUC